AGAGUUGGAUCCUGGCUCAGAUGGAACGCUGGCGGCGUGCCUAACACAUGCAAGUCGAACGGACGAGGGGAGCUUGCUCCCCAAGUUAGUGGCGGACGGGUGAGUAACACGUGAGCAACCUGCCCUUCGGAGGGGGACAACAGUUGGAAACGACUGCUAAUACCGCAUGAUACAGCGGGGAGGCAUCUCCCUGCUGUCAAAGAUUUAUCGCCGAAGGAUGGGCUCGCGUCUGAUUAGAUAGUUGGCGGGGUAACGGCCCACCAAGUCGACGAUCAGUAGCCGGACUGAGAGGUUGAACGGCCACAUUGGGACUGAGAUACGGCCCAGACUCCUACGGGAGGCAGCAGUGGGGAAUAUUGGGCAAUGGGGGCAACCCUGACCCAGCAACGCCGCGUGAAGGAAGAAGGCUUUCGGGUUGUAAACUUCUUUGACGAGGGACGAUAGUGACGGUACCUCGAAAACAAGCCACGGCUAACUACGUGCCAGCAGCCGCGGUAAUACGUAGGUGGCAAGCGUUGUCCGGAUUUACUGGGCGUAAAGGGCGCGUAGGCGGGAUUGCAAGUCAGAUGUGAAAUCUCCGGGCUUAACCCGGAAAUUGCAUUUGAAACUGUAGUUCUUGAGUAUCGGAGAGGCAAGCGGAAUUCCUAGUGUAGCGGUGAAAUGCGUAGAUAUUAGGAGGAACACCAGUGGCGAAGGCGGCUUGCUGGACGACAACUGACGCUGAGGCGCGAAAGCGUGGGGAGCAAACAGGAUUAGAUACCCUGGUAGUCCACGCCCUAAACGAUGAAUACUAGGUGCGGGGGGACUGACCCCCUCCGUGCCGGGGUUAACACAAUAAGUAUUCCACCUGGGGAGUACGGCCGCAAGGUUGAAACUCAAAGGAAUUGACGGGGGCCCGCACAAGCAGUGGAUUAUGUGGUUUAAUUCGACGCAACGCGAAGAACCUUACCAGGGCUUGACAUCCAACUAACGAAGCAGAGAUGCAUUAGGUGCCCUUCGGGGAAAGUUGAGACAGGUGGUGCAUGGUUGUCGUCAGCUCGUGUCGUGAGAUGUUGGGUCAAGUCCCGCAACGAGCGCAACCCUUGUCCGUAGUAGCCAGCAGUAAGAUGGGAAACUCUACGGAGACUGCCGGGGAUAACCCGGAGGAAGGUGGGGAUGACGUCAAAUCAUCAUGCCCCUUACGGUCCGGGCGACACACGUGCUACAAUGGCGUAACAAAGGGAAGCGAGCCCGCGAGGGGGAGCAAACCCCAAAAAUAGCGUCCCAGUUCGGACUGUAGUCUGCAACCCGACUACACGAAGCCGGAAUCGCUAGUAAUCGCGGAUCAGAAUGCCGCGGUGAAUACGUUCCCGGGUCUUGUACACACCGCCCGUCACACCAUGGGAGUUGGUAAUGCCCGAAGCCGGUGGCCUAACGAAAGAGGGAGCCGUCGAAGGCAGGACCGAUGACUGGGGUGAAGUCGUAACAAGGUAACC
rnacentral:rRNA from 1 species